GUGUUCAUUUGGCCAUACAUAUACUAAAGUUGGAAUACAGAGAAAAUUGCUGUGGCCCCUUGUGCUAAGAUUAUAUACAAAUUAGUGAAGUGUUCGGUAUUUUU
rnacentral:snRNA from 1 species